CUCUCUCUCCCCCCACAGCGAACCCUGGCGCUCUCACCAUCUGGAUCUUGAUGCGCUGUCGCCCCCAACCCCACUCCUUCCUCUGGAUCUCGACGCGCCGCCGCCCCUACCCCACUCCCUCCCACACUGUCCACCGGCGUUCUCACACUCUCACCGCUCGGCCCUCUCAUCCGCCUCCCGUCCCCUUGGCGGCGGCGCCCUCCCCAUCGCUAUCCCCCAACCCCGGCAGCCAGAUCCCGCUCAGGCUCACAUCGGGCUCCUCAUCGUCCUCCUCGACCUGCUCCUCCCGCCCGCGCUCCUCUCCAACUUCCUCCGCGCCGGAGUCCACCACGCCUCCGCGCACAGCCUCCUCGACCAGGCCAGGGGCUUCCACUUCCGCUCCUCCCUCGUCGACCUCCCCGCCGUCUCCGCCGCCCGCUCCCUCCUCAUCCUCUGCGCGUACACGGCAUGCGGGGGCGGCGGCCUGCAGCAUCGGCUCCCUCUUCUACGUCCUCGCCAAGGCCGUCGCGGUCUUUGGCGUGGUCGCCGACGGCGCCGCCAGCCUCGAGCUGCACGGCAAGGGCCAGCUCCUCGCCUUGGCCUACCGGGCCAGCAGCUGGGAGAAGCGCUGGCUGCACGUCGUCUACAGGAUCAACAUCGAAGUAGCGACCUCCAUGGACGACAUCGACGAUGAAGACAAUGACGAGGGGCCUGUAACAAGAAUGAGAGCCCUCUUGUUCACAGGGGCGUUGAUCCGGACGACCGAAUGAAUCCUCCUCCUUUUGGUUUAGCUCUUGAUUGACGCCUUGGGAAGUCCUAGUGCAAAUUUGGUUUGCAUAAUGCUCUGGUCUGGCAAAUGAUUUUAGAUAUGCACUAGUGGUGGAAAUUUAGGCAUUCGUCGGUAGAAAAAGCUGAUCAUUGAUCUGGAGAUACAAAACUGGAGCUUUUGGCAUUUGUUGUUGAUUAAUUCAUGCCAUGAUUACUUGACAGAGGGAAACCAUUGGGCUGAUAAACUUCGACUAGGAGUAGGAAUUAUGAGGAGAAAUUGUUUAAUUUGAACGCAAACAACAGUUAUCGGUUUCAAAAUGCCAUACUUUUAACCGGAAUGAAUUUCUUCUUUGGCUGCUUCUCUGUCAAAUUACUUGCAUAUGCAUUGUUGACCUGUUAAGGAAAAUCAGCUCAAGUGGUUUUUUCUCUGAAAACAAGAAAAAUGAACAUAUGUGUUUAUUAGUUUGUUUGUAGAAGUUCAAUAGAAACAGUUCUAUUGCCUACGACUGUAGUUAUAGUCACUUGUUAGGCUAAUUUCGAGCAGACUGCUUAGUGUUAACCGUGCCAUGCAGAGUUUUGGAAGGGGCUGCUGGUGUUGUAAUUGUUUAGCCUAAUUUAUUGCAUCAUCUUAUCAGGGACAUGAGUAUUCUUUUUUCUUUUAAUUGACAUUAGAUGUAUACACCUUUUAUGGAUAUGUUGUUAAGUCUCAAGGCACAUUCUUUCCUGUACACAGAUGAUUUUGUUGUAGUUUAUUUUAUAUCUGACACAGAGCUGAGCGACUUGUUUGUUUUACAUAUGACGGAGGUGUAAUAGUUUUAUGAUAGUGCUUACUACCUUUUUUAGUUACUUCAAAUAAUACCUUUUUCUGUUAACUGAUUAGCAUAGCCCUUUUGUAAAUAAUACCUUUUUUUGUUAAUUGAUUAGCAUAGCCCUUUUUCUGUUAAUUUAAAUUAACUGAAACAUUUUCAGUUACUUCAAUUAAACAUGCAGUGUAGAGCUACUCAUUUGAUUCAUUUGAAAAUAUGAGUAAUUCUUUUUCAUUAACAGAAACUUCUCAUCUCUUUUCUUCUAUUUUCCUCUCUUCUCUUCUUCUCUUUGCUGCUGUUAAGUUAGGACUUGUUGCUGAUGAUUGCUGUUGUUAAACAUCAUGAUUGCUUAGUUUAGUGUAGGACUUGCUGCUGCUGAUGCUGUCAUAUUCAUAUUGUAUUUUCCAAAGUUGUUGAUCAAAGGAAUGGACUAAAUUAAAGCAUUCCCAGGAAUUGAUGUUGUUGUUAUUGACAUGCUGCUGUUGUCAAACUGCUGUUGUCAUUAACCUGCUGUUGCUGCUGUUGUAGGAGAAGGAGCACGCCGAGGAGAAGGAGCAAGCCGAGGAGAAGGAGCAAGCCCAGGAGAAAAAGAACGAGCAGGAGAAGAAGGCCCUGGAUUGCUGUUGCUGGAGUGUCGAGGAUCUGGGAUCUGUGACGGCCUUGCACCGGCUCCUGCCCGCGGACGUCGCGCGGGCGGCGUGCGUCUGCCGUCUCUGGCGCGCCGUCGUCUCCGACCGCGCCGUGCUGGAGGUCGCCUUCCGCGUGCCCUGGGGCGUUCGCCGCGUCCUCGGUGACCCGGCCACCAAGGCCUUCUGGCGCGCUGCCUCCCUCGCCCGAUUCGCGCUCUCACGCGCCGUCCAUCACGGGGACACCAUCCCCGGCAUCGUGCUCAAGUACUCUGUCCAGCAAAAUCUGGCUCAGGCCCGGAAGGAGCACGAAGCUGCUGUAUUGGUGCUAUAGCAGAGAGAUGGGCCUCCUAGCAAAGCUUGCUGGGGCAUUUUCAAGAUACGGUUGAUGCCGUGAAGAAGUCAGCUCCCCUUGGAUGGUGCAGUGUAGCAAAUCAAUGUCGAUUCAUUCAUUCUUUGGUGCUGGCCUUCAUUCUUCAAAAGUUGAGUGUACAGGAGCUGUAGGAAGAAGAAUCCUGAAAAAAAAAACCACACCCAGAAUGCGUUUUGGCUCACUGGAGCUAGUUAUGUGUAUAUUUAGUUGUAUAUUAUAGCUGAAUACCAGAUUUUUACUAUGUACUUUGCUUGGUUGUUGUAAUAUACUAUCUCAGUUUUGGGUGUACAGGAUUGUAUUGUACUUUGUUUGGCUGUUGUAUGGAAUAUUAUGCCUUAUUGGCUCUUUUUGAAUUAAAUUAUCUAAUUGCAAAAA